rnacentral:rRNA from 1 species
ACUACGGUGCUGAAGUAACAAAUGCCCUGCUUCCAGGAAAAGCCUCUAAGCAUCAGGUAACAUCAAAUCGUACCCCAAACCGACACAGGUGGUCAGGUAGAGAAUACCAAGGCGCUUGAGAGAACUCGGGUGAAGGAACUAGGCAAAAUGGUGCCGUAACUUCGGGAGAAGGCACGCUGGUGUGUAGGUGAAGUCCCUGCGGAUGGAGCUGAGACCAGUCGAAGAUACCAGCUGGCUGCAACUGUUUAUUAAAAACACAGCACUGUGCAAACACGAAAGUGGACGUAUACGGUGUGACGCCUGCCCGGUGCCGGAAGGUUAAUUGAUGGGGUUAUCCGUAAGGAGAAGCUCUUGAUCGAAGCCCCGGUAAACGGCGGCCGUAACUAUAACGGUCCUAAGGUAGCGAAAUUCCUUGUCGGGUAAGUUCCGACCUGCACGAAUGGCGUAAUGAUGGCCAGGCUGUCUCCACCCGAGACUCAGUGAAAUUGAACUCGCUGUGAAGAUGCAGUGUACCCGCGGCAAGACGGAAAGACCCCGUGAACCUUUACUAUAGCUUGACACUGAACAUUGAGCCUUGAUGUGUAGGAUAGGUGGGAGGCUUUGAAGCGUGGACGCCAGUCUGCGUGGAGCCAACCUUGAAAUACCACCCUUUAAUGUUUGAUGUUCUAACGUUGGCCCCUUACCGGGGUUGCGGACAGUGUCUGGUGGGUAGUUUGACUGGGGCGGUCUCCUCCCAAAGCGUAACGGAGGAGCACGAAGGUUAGCUAAUCCUGGUCGGACAUCAGGAGGUUAGUGCAAUGGCAUAAGCUAGCUUGACUGCGAGCGUGACGGCGCGAGCAGGUGCGAAAGCAGGUCAUAGUGAUCCGGUGGUUCUGAAUGGAAGGGCCAUCGCUCAACGGAUAAAAGGUACUCCGGGGAUAACAGGCUGAUACCGCCCAAGAGUUCAUAUCGACGGCGGUGUUUGGCACCUCGAUGUCGGCUCAUCACAUCCUGGGGCUGAAGUAGGUCCCAAGGGUAUGGCUGUUCGCCAUUUAAAGUGGUACGCGAGCUGGGUUUAGAACGUCGUGAGACAGUUCGGUCCCUAUCUGCCGUGGGCGCUGGAGAAUUGAGGGGGGCUGCUCCUAGUACGAGAGGACCGGAGUGGACGCAUCACUGGUGUUCGGGUUGUCAUGCCAAUGGCACUGCCCGGUAGCUAAAUGCGGAAGAGAUAAGUGCUGAAAGCAUCUAAGCACGAAACUUGCCCCGAGAUGAGUUCUCCCUGAGACUUUAAGUCUCCUGAAGGAACGUUGAAGACGACGACGUUGAUAGGCCGGGUGUGUAAGCGCAGCGAUGCGUUGAGCUAACCGGUACUAAUGAACCGUGAGGCUUAACC